rnacentral:rRNA from 1 species
GAUGAACGCUAGCGGCAGGCCUAACACAUGCAAGUCGAGGGGUAGUCUAGCAAUAGAUGAGACCGGCGCACGGGUGCGUAACGCGUAUGCAAUCUACCUUUUACAGAGGGAUAGCCCAGAGAAAUUUGGAUUAAUACCUCAUAGUGUAUUUGAGUGGCAUCACUUGAUUACUAAAGUCACAACGGUAAAAGAUGAGCAUGCGUCCUAUUAGCUUGUUGGUAAGGUAACGGCUUACCAAGGCUACGAUAGGUAGGGGUCCUGAGAGGGAGAUCCCCCMCACUGGUACUGAGACACGGACCAGACUCCUACGGGAGGCAGCAGUGAGGAAUAUUGGACAAUGGGCGCAAGCCUGAUCCAGCCAUGCCGCGUGCAGGAAGACGCAUCUAUGGUGUGUAAACUGCUUUUGUACGGGAAGAAACACUCCUACGUGCAGGAGCUUGACGGUACCGUAAGAAUAAGGMUCGGCUAACUCCGUG